rnacentral:rRNA from 1 species
GAUCCUGGCUCAGGAUGAACGCUAGCUACAGGCUUAACACAUGCAAGUCGAGGGGAAACGGCAUUGAGUGCUUGCACUCUUUGGACGUCGACCGGCGCACGGGUGAGUAACGCGUAUCCAACCUUCCCAUUACUGUGGGAUAACCUGCCGAAAGGCAGACUAAUACCGCAUGGUCUUCGAUGACGGCAUCAGAUUUGAAGUAAAGAUUUAUCGGUAAUAGAUGGGGAUGCGU